GCGGGAAGAAGCUCAAAUUUGAAAUCUGGUAGCCUUCGGUUGCCCGAGUUGUAAUCUAGAGAAGUGUUUUCCGUGCCGGCCCAUGUACAAGUCCCUUGGAACAGGGCGUCAUAGAGGGUGAGAAUCCCGUCCUUGACAUGGACCCCCGGUGCUUUGUGAUACACUUUCAACGAGUCGAGUUGUUUGGGAAUGCAGCUCAAAAUGGGUGGUGAAUUCCAUCUAAAGCUAAAUAUUGGCGAGAGACCGAUAGCGAACAAGUACCGUGAGGGAAAGAUGAAAAGCACUUUGGAAAGAGAGUUAAACAGUACGUGAAAUUGUUGAAAGGGAAACGAUUGAAGUCAGUCAUGCUCUUAGGAUUCAGCCGUUCUGCGGUGUAUUUCCUUUGAGUGGGGUCAACAUCAGUUUUGAUCGAUGGAUAAAGGCACGAGGAAGGUAGCACUCUCGGGUGAACUUAUAGCCUCGCGUCAUAUACAUUGAUUGGGACUGAGGAACGCAGCAUGCCUUUAUGGCCGGGAUUCGUCCACGUACAUGCUUAGGAUGUUGACAUAAUGGCUUUAAACGACCCGUCUU
rnacentral:rRNA from 1 species